ensembl:lncRNA
GUGAGCUUCUCUAGCGUUAGGGAUUGACAGCUGACCCCAAACUGACCCCGUGCUAAAAAACAGGCUUGGGUGAGUCAAAGACUCCAGCACUUCUGCUGCUUCCAUCAGAAGAUGGAAGUGAAUCCGGGAUGGGAGGUAUCCUCAUUUUAUGAUGAAGAAACUGAGGUUCACGAAGGUUCAGUGGCACCUAAGCAAGUGUCUGAGAGCCCAGGACUUCUGGUUCCCAGUCUAGUGCUCUUUGCAUGUCAACUCCACGAGCUCUCUCCCUCACAGGUGGCUAGAGGAUGGCACUGUUGAACUCAAGGACUUAGCUUCUAAUGGGUCUUUGUCCACCUGCCAGUGCCCCUUUUUCACUUGUCAGGACCAGCCAGGCUUCCCUGGCUCAGAGGUCUGGCAUUGGAAGGGAAUCAGAAGAGAGAGGAGAAUGACCCGAGAACCUGUCUCCUCGCCAUUUCACUGAGGUCAGAGCAGCUAAGAAUGAAAAGGUUCCGGGCUCAUGCCUUCUCAAUAAGGGAGCAUUUUCCUUCCUGCAGCCAUCACGUCAGCAAUUUCACUGUCUCUCCCGGGCUGGGCAGGAGGGCUUAACUGCACCUGCACAGAACCGUGAGCACAAAGGCUGUGGGACCUGCGGUGGGACGUUUGCCAGAGGGUGGAGUUUAAAGGACAAGCAGCAGCUCCCAGGAAUACUUGGCUCCCUAUAACUCCAGUGGGGGGAAUAUGCAGUCUCACUGCUGCCCAGUGGGUGGCCAGCAUUCUAGAAACGCCGCUCCUUACACCAACUGUGAUGGGCUCUAUGAUUCAGGACUGAGGAGCUUUGAGCUUGCUGGAAAACCUGGGAUAACUGACGGUCUUAUCCCAUGUGGGAUUACUCAGCCUGUAAAAGUCCUAUUUAUUUGGUAAGGGAGGGGCAGAUCCAUUUCCCAUCUGUUGACACCUGGACCGCAGAGGAGAGAGAGCUGCACCUCUUUGUCCAUCUCAGCACCCCAGCUGUGGUGCUCCCUGUCAAGCUGAUGUGGUUGCUGGGAAGAACACCUGGUGGGUGAGUGAUGGGAGAGCCUCCCGUUGGCAGCUGCCACCUCUGCUGAGAGCCAUGAUCAUCACUCAGUGGAAUGGAAGGCCCAGGCAAGAAGCCUGAGAACACUGUUCCAGACACGUCUCCCUUAGAUACCUGCCCCCGAGUGGGCCUGACCUUGUUGGUGAGACCAGGUUCACCAGCUCCCAGGAGCUGGCUCUCCAAGCACCUCUCUGAGAGUUCCCAGCAUUUCUUUCCACGGCUGUGUUAAUUUUGGCUCCAAAACCAAAUGAGCAGAAGAUUCAGGAGGUUUUAAGUCUUAGAUUACAGGCCUGUGCAGGGUACACCGCCUCUUCACCUCUGGUUUCUUCAUGCCAUUUCAGUUGAGAUGGUAGGAAAGCAGAGGGGAAAAGCUAGCUAAUGUUUGAGAUGAUGAUUUACUUGGUUUCAAGCUGCUGUCAAAGAACAGGCAGUUAUUGUGAGAACUUCUGGCAUUUGGAAAGAGCACAGGGUCAAUGUUUAAGAUACCUGAGCUCCAGUCCUCGCUCUGGCGUGAGCCAACUGUGUGACCUUGAGCAGUGCGUUAGUCUUUCUG